UACGUAGGGGGGCAAGCGUUGUCCGGAAUCAUUGGGCGUAAAGAGCGUGUAGGCGGCUUGGCAAGUCUGACGUGAAAGCCCGCGGCUCAACCGCGGAUUGUCGUUGGAAACUGCCUCGCUAGAGUCCGGAAGAGGAGAGCGGAAUUCCUGGUGUAGCGGUGGAAUGCGCAGAUAUCAGGAAGAACACCAAUGGCGAAGGCAGCUCUCUGGGACGGUACUGACGCUGAGGAGCGAAAGCGUGGGGAGCGAACAGG
rnacentral:rRNA from 1 species